CGCGAGCCUCUCGCGUCCCUGGUUUUCUCGGUCGCAGCGUUGAGUUAUUGGGUGGAAAGGCAUCACCUUAGAGUCAACCUUCUUUGAAACCACUGUCUCAGAGAAAUCCCUCCAAGACACAGGUAAUUAGAGAGGGUAUGUGAACCAAGGAGCCAAUCAAAUUCUCCCACAUAAGAAUUUGGGACACAGAAGAUGAAGCUGAGGACCACAAGGAUUUAGAUACUGAUGCUAAAGGAAAAAGGAAGAAGCAGAGGGUCAGCAGAUGUUGAAAGAGGUAUAAUCAAGCUCAUACUCCAUUAAACAGAAAGCAAACUAAGAGCUGGAGAGAUGAAGAGACUUGGUCAACAUCAUACAUGAUGGAGAGUUCUAAUCUCAUAUUGGCAGGAUCUGUUGG
rnacentral:lncRNA from 10 species